CCUACGGGAGGCUGCAGUAGGGAAUAUUGCUCAAUGGGGGAAACCCUGAAGCAGCAACGCCGCGUGGAGGAUGAAGGUUUUCGGAUUGUAAACUCCUUUUAUCAGGGAAGAUAAUGACGGUAUCUGACUAAUAAGCACCGGCUAACUCCGUGCCAGCAGCCGCGGUAAUACGGAGGGUGCAAGCGUUACUCGGAAUGACUGGGCGUAAAGAGCGCGUAGGCGGGAGAGCAAGUCUGAUGUGAAAGCCUAGGGCUUAACCACAGAACUGCAUUUGAAACUGUUAGGCUAGAGUAUGGGAGAGGUAGGUGGAAUUCUUGGUGUAGGGGUAAAAUGCGUAGAUAUCAAGAGGAAUACUCGUUGCGAAGGCGGCUUACUGGAACAUAACUGACGUUGAGGCGCGAAAGCGUGGGGAGCAAACAGGAUUAGAUACCCGAGUAGUC
rnacentral:rRNA from 1 species